CAGAGAUUGAAUUGUAUCCAUCAUUUUAACUUCAAUUCAUGUAAAAAUAACAUGAAAUAAAGUGCAGUAUUAACUCAGUUGUACAAAACAAAGGCAUGAUUUAUUCUAGCAUGGAUUUUUAGGCCAGUGAAUUUCACCCGACCUAUUUUUGACACCAUCAUGAUUUAUUAAAACACUCAACUAAUUUUAGGUAGAAAAUAUUCAGAUUCCCCACAUUAAAACUUUAAUCAAAAACAAUAUCGAACUUUGUGAACCAUGAUGAUUAACACCAUGCUAAGCAAGGCCUUUGGAUAAAAGAAAUUAAAAUUGAAGAAUAUUGACCAAAAUUUUCAAGAUCUAAUUUCUUGAUAUUUUUUAUAAAAAAAUAUACAAAAGAUUGAUUAUUGGGUGAAAAAAAUGCAAUCAUAUCGAUCACGUACAUUUUAUGUACUGUAUACAAAUUCCAAUCAAAGUAUUGGACGAGUGCUACUAAACAUUUGCUAAAUGCAAGAAUGAAAGUGGGUAUGUCAUCCAAGGCACUCCAGUUAAUCUUAUUUGCCAAUUUACCUUCAACAUUGUCGUCAUCCUCAUCGUCGUCAUCUUCGUCAUCCUCAUCAUCAUCCUCAACUACAGGCUCAUCAUCCUACAAAAGAUAUUCAAAAGUGCAGGAUAUUAGACAACAAAGCAAAUAGUAGGCCAUUAAAUAUGUGUGGACUGUGGAGUUAAAAAAGUUCUUCUGUGGCUACAUUUUAACUAAUACAUAGUAAUCAUUAGGUGUAACCAUCAAUCAACUAAGUUUAUGACAAGUUUAAAUUUCAGAUCAUAACUAAGGGUUCAUUCUUUUCUAAAGGUUGAGCUGUUCUCCCAUCUUUGAUUUGAAAAUCAUACACUUGUUUUUCACACAAAUUGCUGUAACAUAUAAACCCCCAGAAACCUCCCAACUAAUUGCAUAGAAAAUGUUCAACAUUAAACGAAUUGAAUUCAGGUAUUUCCACUCAACUCCCAAAUCUCAACUUUUGCAAUCCUAGUCAAAACUCUAAUGAACAACCCAGAGUCAGCCAUUGAAUUUAAAAAAAAAAAAAAAAAAUCUUGAGGCCAAAUUAUUUUUUUUAAAAGACAACCAAAUUACUUUUAAACCUUGAAUCAGAAUAGAAUUAAUUUUAAACCUAAUUCUAAAUCACUUCACAAUUAAAUUAAAAUAGCUAAUAAGGGAGAAUAAAGGUGUGAAUUAAUACAUGGAUCUUUUGUUGCUCAAGGUCGGCCGCAAGAAGCUCCUCUUGGGUCUGAGCAGUCAUAGCGAUUUAUCGGUGUUCUGCUCUGCUGUUACUCA
rnacentral:lncRNA from 1 species